CUAGCAUAUGCUCAUGGUUUGUCCUAUGAAAAAAUUCUUGAUGUGUAUGGAAUAGGAAUAUUAUUAGAAAAAUUCAGUGAAGAGAAGGAACAGUUAAAGAGAAUCCACGUUAGCGGAAUGGAAAGACUUUCUUCAUUGGAAUACGAAUUCGUAAAUUGGACAAUAAAUCAAGUGGAAGAAUAUACCAAAUAUUAUAACCUGGGAAAUACACGUUAUCCGAAUUACGUUGGAAGCAAUAUAUCGAAUAGUUAUGGGGGAUUAACGGAAACAAAACAAGAAUUGGAAUA